rnacentral:rRNA from 1 species
AGCGAACGCUGGCGGCAGGCCUAACACAUGCAAGUCGAACGAAGUCUUCGGACUUAGUGGCGGACGGGUGAGUAACACGUGGGAACGUGCCUUUAGGUUCGGAAUAACUCAGGGAAACUUGUGCUAAUACCGAAUGUGCCCUUCGGGGGGAAGAUUUAUCGCCUUUAGAGCGGCCCGCGUCUGAUUAGCUAGUUGGUGAGGUAAAGGCUCACCAAGGCGACGAUCAGUAGCUGGUCUGAGAGGAUGAUCAGCCACAUUGGGACUGAGACACGGCCCAAACUCCUACGGGAGGCAGCAGUGGGGAAUCUUGCGCAAUGGGCGAAAGCCUGACGCAGCCAUGCCGCGUGGAUGAUGAAGGUCUUAGGAUUGUAAAAUCCUUUCACCGGUGAAGAUAAUGACUGUAGCCGGAGAAGAAGCCCCGGCUAACUUCGUGCCAGCAGCCGCAGUAACAC